AAGGAGGGGCCUCCCGGUCCUUCAUCAGUCCUGGCAUCAGGACCAAUCUGGCUGCAUCCUUUGCUCAGCGCAACUCUGGAACAUCUUAAGAGGCGACCGCAGCUGUCAACCAGGGACCUGACCGUCGCAGGAGGCAUCCGCCAGAUACCUUCCCCCUCCCUAACCUAAUGCUCUGCAGCGGCGGCCUCGGUACCCACUGGAGGCCCCAGACUUGUCUGACCAUUGCAAAAGCAUUUAUAGCAAUAGCCUCUGAUUACAUUGCUGAGAUCACCAACAUCCGACCUAGCUUUGAAAUAGAGACCUUCAUAUGUGUCAUGACCAGUGCAGAUGAAAUUAUAUUACCCUUCUGUGAUUUGGACACUGCACUGACAGGGGGACAUGAGUUGAAUCCCUGGUGUGGGAAGAGUCCACAUGCCAAGGGGCACCGAAGCCCAUGGGCCACAGUUACUGAGCAUGCUGCCCUAGAGCCCCUGCUCUACAAGAGAAGCUACUGCAAUAAGAAGCCCGCACACAGCAGCUAGAGAGUUGCACCUGCUCAUCGAAACUAGAGAAAACCUGCACACAGCAAUGAAGACCCAGUGCAGCCAAAAAUAAAUAAAGAGACUUCUUGGUUCCUCUUCACUUUCUGCCAUGAGAGUGGUAUCAUCUGCAUAUCUGAGGUUGUGGAU